CUUGUACCUAGAGUCAUUGCAUGUGUGAGUGUUGUGUCACAUGUGCAUCAGUAGGUGACAGAGAGAGAGAGGCUAUGUCUAUGCUCAGUGUCAUGACCUGUGACUAUCUGAAAGAUUAGUAGCCUAAUACU